rnacentral:rRNA from 1 species
GAUGAACGCUGGCGGCGUGCUUAACACAUGCAAGUCGAACGAAGCACUUUAUUUGAUUUCCUUCGGGAUUGAUUAUUUUGUGACUGAGUGGCGGACGGGUGAGUAACGCGUGGGUAACCUGCCUUGUACAGGGGGAUAACAGUUGGAAACGGCUGCUAAUACCGCAUAAGCGCACAGCAUCGCAUGAUGCAGUGUGAAAAACUCCGGUGGUAUAAGAUGGACCCGCGUUGGAUUAGCUAGUUGGUGAGGUAACGGCCCACCAAGGCGACGAUCCAUAGCCGACCUGAGAGGGUGACCGGCCACAUUGGGACUGAGACACGGCCCAAACUCCUACGGGAGGCAGCAGUGGGGAAUAUUGCACAAUGGACGAAAGCCUGAUGCAGCGACGCCGCGUGAGCGAAGAAGUAUUUCGGUAUGUAAAGCUCUAUCAGCAGGGAAGAUAAUGACGG